GAUUACAAAGAUAAAAACACAGCGCAUGUAUCACAUGCAGAUCCGGUUGGUAGUCCGGACGGAAGACCCCUGUUCCUUUGCCGGAACCGGUAUUGGCAGGCAGUUCUUCUAAGUAGCCCUCCUCCUUGGUCGUCCAUUCUUUGUUCAUAACAU
rnacentral:ncRNA from 1 species